rnacentral:rRNA from 1 species
GUCUAUGGCCAUUGCCACCCUAAACAAGCUCGAUCCCAUCAGAUCUCGGAAGCUAAGCGAGGUCAGGCCUGGUUAGUACUUGGAUGGGAGACCACCUAGGAAGACCAGAAGCUAGGGCGU